GCGGAGGAAAAGAAACUAACAAGGAUUCCCUCAGUAACGGCGAGUGAAGCGGGAAGAGCUCAAAUUUAAAAUCUGGUUUGCUUGCAAGCCCGAGUUGUAGUCUGAAGAAACGUUUUCCAUAAGCACUGAGACAAAAGUCCCUUGGAACAGGGCAUCAUAGAGGGUGAGAAUCCCGUCCAUGGUCUCAAGUUGUUUAUUUUGUGAUACGUUUUCAAAGAGUCAGGUUGUUUGGGAAUGCAGCCUAAAAUGGGUGGUAAAUUUCAUCUAAAGCUAAAUAUUGGCGAGAGACCGAUAGCGAACAAGUACCGUGAGGGAAAGAUGAAAAGAACUUUGAAAAGAGAGUUAAACAGUACGUGAAAUUGUUGAAAGGGAACCGUUUGAAGCCAGUCUUACUUGCCUGUGAUCAAUUUUUGCUUCGGCAUGAAUGCACUCUCGGGUAUGGUAGGCCAACGACAGUUUGGAAUGCGAGAAAAAAAUAGAGGAAAUGUGGCCUUCGGGUGUUAUAGUCCUUUAUAAAAUAUCGUGUUCUGGACUGAGGAUCGCAGCAAAAACGUGGGCAGGUGGAUUUCUGUGGUAACUGUCGGUUAGGACAACUUGUUGACCUAGUCUUCCUUAGCCUCACUAUUUACCUUGCUUCUAAUUUGCUUAGGUCGUUGGCAUAAUGGCUUUAAAUGAC
rnacentral:rRNA from 1 species